rnacentral:rRNA from 1 species
CCUACGGGUGGCAGCAGUGGGGAAUAUUGCACAAUGGGGGAAACCCUGAUGCAGCGACGCCGCGUGAGUGAAGAAGUAAUUCGGUAUGUAAAGCUCUAUCAGCAGGGAAGAAAAUGACGGUACCUGAGUAAGAAGCCCCGGCUAACGACGGGCCAGCAGCCGCGGUAAUACGUAGGGGGAAAGCGUCAUCCGGAUUUACUGGGUGUACAGGGAGCGUAGCCGGCAGGGCAAGACUGGAGUGAAAGGCGGGGGCUCAACCCCCGGACUGCUCUGGAAACUGUACGGCUGGAGUGCAGGAGAGGUAAGUGGAAUUCCUAGUGUAGCGGUGAACUGCGUAGAUAUUAGGAGGAACCCCAGUGGCGAAGGCGGCUUACUGGACUGUACCUGCCGUUGAGGCUCGAAAGCGUGGGGAGCAAACAGGAUUAGAUACCCUAGUAGUC